AGCAGCCGCGGUAAUUCCAGCUCCAAUAGCGUAUAUUAAAGUUGUUGCAGUUAAAAAGCUCGUAGUUGAAUUUUGGGGUUAGUAGGUUGGUCAUGCCUCUGGUAUGUACUGGUCUCACUGAUUCCUCCUUCCUGAUGAACUGUAAUGCCAUUAAUUUGGUGUUGCAGGGAAUCUGGACUGUUACUUUGAAAAAUUAGAGUGUUUAAAGCAGGCUAACGCCUGAAUACAUUAGCAUGGAAUAAUGAAAUAGGACGUUCGAUCCUAUUUUGUUGGUUUCUAGGAUUGACGUAAUGAUUAAUAGGGAUAGUUGGGGGCAUUAGUAUUCAAUUGUCAGAGGUGAAAAUUCUUGGAUUUAUUGAAGACUAACUACUGCGAAAGCAUUUGCCAAGGAUGUUUUCAUUAAUCAAG
rnacentral:rRNA from 1 species